UACGGUGGGGGCAAGCGUUGUUCGGAAUUACUGGGCGUAAAGGGCUCGUAGGUGGCCAACUAAGUCAUACGUGAAAUCCCUCGGCUUAACCGGGGAACUGCGUCUGAUACUGGAUGGCUUGAGGUUGGGAGAGGGAUGCGGAAUUCCAGGUGUAGCGGUGAAAUGCGUAGAUAUCUGGAGGAACACCGGUGGCGAAGGCGGCAUCCUGGACCAAUUCUGACACUGAGGAGCGAAAGCCAGGGGAGCAAACAGG
rnacentral:rRNA from 1 species